rnacentral:lncRNA from 1 species
GAAAGUCCAUUCUGUCACUCAAGGCACCUCUGUCAAAUGGCACAUCCUGCUCUUUGCUACCGCGGAUAUUUGAAAUUGGAUUUACCAAUAUUUUCUAAAUGCAAAGUAUAGCUACAGAUUUCAGUACCAGUGUUGUCCUGAAUACAGCUGCUGGUAUCAACACAGCUCUGUCUUCUGUGGCUAAAGCAGUCUGGACUGGUUGAAGCAGAGUGGGAAAGAUUAUUUUGAAAGUGUUUCAGUUUGCUGUGAAUCAUCAUAAUCUAUACAUCGAUAGUGUCUGGGACGCACGAACAAAACGCCGCUAUUCGGAUAUAACGAUGGAUUAUUUUGGACCAAACCAACAUUUGUUAUUGAAGUAGCAGUCCUGGGAGUGCAUUCUGACGAAGACAACAAAAGGACCUGAGCCCUAGGACCAUGCCUCAGGACUACCUGGCAUGAUGACUCCUUGCUGUCCCCAGUCCACCUGGCCGUGCUGCUGCUCCAGUUUCAACUGUUCUGCCUGCAGCUAUGGAACCCUGACCUGUUCACUGGACAUGCUACCUGUCCCAGACCUGCUGUUUUCAACUCUCUAGAGACAGUGGUAGAAAUACUCUCAAUGAUCGGCUAUGAGAAGCCAACUGACAUUUACUCUUGAGGUGCUGACUUGUUGCACCCUCGACAACUACUGUGAUUAUUAUUAUUUGACCAUGCUGGUCAUUUAUGAACAUUUGAACAUCUUGGCCAUGUUCUGUUAUAAUCUCAACCCGGC